rnacentral:rRNA from 1 species
UACGUAGGCAGCAAGCGUUGUUCGGAAUUACUGGGCGUAAAGAGUGUGUAGGCGGUGCUCUAAGUUUGGUGUGAAAUCUCCCGGCUCAACUGGGAGGGGUGCGCCGAAAACUGGAAUGCUUGAACAUGGGAGAGGAAAGCGGAAUUCCUGGUGUAGCGGUGAAAUGCGUAGAUAUCAGGAGGAACACCUGCGGUGUAGACGGCUUUCUGGACCAUUGUUGACGCUGAGGCACGAAAGCGUGGGUAGCAAACAGG